GGGGGAGGAAGAAGUAGAAAUUGAUUACAUCUCAGGCUCAGCCCCAAACCUUUUCUGCAUCAGCUGUGAGGAAGAGCCUGAAUCCAUCAGUACAGAGGACAUGAAUCCGCAGCACCGCAAUGGAGGAUGGGGAAGGUAAACUCCAGGAGGAGCUUGUGAAGCCUUUUUAAAUUCACUCCUCGUACCUGGACUGCACCAAAAAAGAGAUUAACCUAUUCCUCUAUGUUUCCUUCUCCACAACCCAGAAUGGACCUUCAUGGAGCAGCAGCACAAACAACAUGGCAUAGGUAUUGAGAACCACUUCGGUUAGCUGCUAGCCAUCUGACUGGAAACAGCCCCAUGAUGGUUAUUUUACAGUCUCAAUGCAAGCUAGAGGUACACAAAUGGAAACAGGUUAUUUCCCUGAGAAAGAAACAUUUCCUUCUGUAAGACUUGUCAUUCAUGUAAGGACAGCUCUGUGGCAUCAAC